rnacentral:rRNA from 1 species
UACGGAGGGUGCAAGCGUUAAUCGGAAUAAUUGGGCGUAAAGAGCGCGUAGGUGGUUUGUUAAGUGCGUUGUGAAAGACUCGGGCUUAACCUGGGGGUGUCAACGCAAACUGACAAACUAGAGUACAGUAGAGGGUCGUGGAAUUUCCGGUGUAGCGGUGAAAUGCGUAGAGAUCGGAAGGAACACCAGUGGCGAAGGCGACGACCUGGGCUGAAACUGACACUGAGGCGCGAAAGCGUGGGGAGCAAACAGG